rnacentral:rRNA from 1 species
CCAAUAGCGUAUAUUAAAGUUGUUGCAGUUAAAAAGCUCGUAGUUGAAUUUCGGGGUCAGUAGAUUGGUCGUGCCACUGGUAUGCACUGGUCUUACUGGCUCCUCCUUCCUGAUGAACCGUAAUGCCAUUAAUUUGGUGUUGCGGGGAGACUGGACUGUUACUUUGAAAAAAUUAGAGUGUUUAAAGCAGGCUAACGCUUGAAUACAUUAGCAUGGAAUAAUGAAAUAGGACGUUCGAUCUUAUUUUGUUGGUUUCUAAGAUUGACGUAAUGAUUAAUAGGGAUAGUUGGGGGCAUUAGUAUUCAAUUGUCAGAGGUGAAAUUCUUGGAUUUAUUGAAGACUAACUACUGCGAAAGCAUUUGCCAAGGAUGUUUUCAUUAAUCAAGAACGAAAGUUAGGGGAUCGAAGACGAUCAGAUACCGUCGUAGUCUUAACCAUAAACUAUGCCGACUAGGGAUCGGAUGAUGUUAAUUUUUUAAUGACUCAUUCGGCGCCUUACG